rnacentral:rRNA from 1 species
ACUCAAUAGAUACCCAGGUAGUCCUAGCAGUAAACGGUGCACAUUUGGUGUGGGGGGAAUCGACCCCUUCCGCGCCGGAGCUAAACGCGUUAAAUGUGCCGCCUGGGAAGUACGGUCGCAAGAUUAAAACUCAAAGAAAUUGACGGGGACCCGCACAAGCGGUGGAGUAUGUGGCUUAAUUCGAUGCAACGCGAAGAACCUUACCUGGUCUUGACAUGCACUGUGUCUCCGGUGAAAGCCGGAUAGGGUAGCAAUACCCGCUUUGCACAGGUGCUGCAUGGCUGUCGUCAGCUCGUGUCGUGAGAUGUUGGGUUAAGUCCCGCAACGAGCGCAACCCCGUGUGAUUUGUUGCCACCUGGUUUUCCAGAGCACUCGAAUCAGACUGCCUAGAUCAACUAGGAGGAAGGUGGGGAUGACGUCAAGUCCGUAUGGCCCUUACGACCAGGGCUGCACACGUACUACAAUGCCCAGCACAAUGUGAACCGAUACCGCGAGGUGGAGGAAAUCC